AUGAAGAACGUAGCGAAAUGCGAUAAGUAAUGUGAAUUGCAGAAUUCAGUGAAUCAUCGAAUCUUUGAACGCACAUUGCGCCCCUUGGUAUUCCGAGGGGCAUGCCUGUUCGAGCGUCAUUAUAACCCCUCAAGCUCAGCUUGGUGUUGGGGCCUGCUGCACUGGCAGCCCUUAAAAUCAGUGGCGGCGCCAUCUGGCUCUAAGCGUAGUAAUUCUUCUCGCUAUGGAGUCCUGGUGGUUGCUUGCCAUCAACCCCCAAUUUUUCUAUGGUUGACCUCGGAUCAGGUAGGGAUACCCGCUGAACUUAAGCAUAUCAAUAAGCGGAGGA
rnacentral:misc_RNA from 1 species